ensembl:lncRNA
AGCCGCCUGGCUAACCUGCGUAGAACUGGCUCAGCUCGUUGGUGAAUGCAGAAUCGGCGUUGAUCGGCGCAGUGUCUCUGGCUUUGUAGUCCGUAAUGGUGAUCCAGGAGACUUUUUUCCUCUUCCCCUCUUCCCCUCCCCUCUUUUCUUUCCUUCGCUCUUUCUUUCUUUUUCCCCUUCUUAUCCCCCAGUCAUGUCUGUCCCGUCUGUAACUACUGACAAUAAAAUAAAAUAAAAUAAAAUAAAUAAAUAAUAAUAACAAAGGUCAAUCAAAUGGACCAAUAUGGCAAAGCCAUGAUGAUCCACUUGGUAAAGUAAAUCUGUUGGGCAUCUUUCUUGGCCUUCAGACAAAAUAUUCUGAUGGCUAAAGAAGCAAACAGGACAGGCAAAAAAAGGGGGAAAAACAGUGAUUUAAAUUUGAAUUUUAAAACCAUACAUUAAACAGACAAAGAAAAUUAAAUAACAAUAAAAUAAAUGAAUGAAAAAAGAAAAAAGAAAAAUGAAUCAGUAAAUAUUAAAACAUGAAUAAAAUAGACAACAAAUAAAAUUAACAAAGUAUAAAGAUUAAACUACUAAAACUAAAACGGACUACAAGCUGACGCUGGUACUACUACCCCGUGAAUAAAAGGUGUUUUUAAAAGUGAUUUGAAAAUUUCAAGUGUUGGGCCGAAUAUGAGAUUUCCGCCCCCUGUUGGCUCUCCAGGAAACUGCAGGUCUUCCUGGUCGUUGACAAAUGUUUAGUGCAGGGGUCUGCAACCUUUUACACCCAAAGAGCCACUUGGACCCGGUUUCCACGCAAAAGAAAACACUGGGAGCCGCAAAUACUUUUUGACAUCUAAAAUGAAGAUAACACUGUAUAUAUUGUUUUUUAUCUUUAUGCUUUGUGUCAGUAGCGGUUUUAGAUACGGGCGACACGGGCGGUUGCCCGGGGCGGCAUCGUGAUGGGGGGCGGCAUCACGGGCAUCGGCAAAAAAAAAAAAAAAAAAAAAUGCUCGUACUCAUGCUGCCCCGACGGCAGCCAGCGCAUAUUGGGAAUGUCAUAGGCACCGAUCGGUUUUCUAUCGCCCAUUUGCUGGGAGUAAGGGCGCCCUCCGUUUGCGAGGUGCGCCUGCUGCUUGCGGCACAGGGAGGAGAGGGCGGGGCGGUGGGGGAUUCUCUGGCUGGCUGGAGCAGCAUCUAAUAACCAACUCGCAAAAUAAAACAAAACAAAAACAAAACAAACACGAAAACACCGGACAUUAUGAUACAGACUUAUAAUUUGCACCGAUGUUUUUUCGAAAUUCUAUACACGAAAACUGAGCGCGAGAGCCCUCGGUGCGCCUGCGCGCUGCUGAAGUCAAAGUAAACUUUGUCAUCUCCGCUACAUACAGUCCAAUAUAUAGAGAGACGAGACGACGAGGCUCCAGUUACAGCAGUGCAAAUAAACGAACAAUAAAUAUAGUAGAGUAAGAAAAUAAAUAUACACUUUAGGACUCGGGGUAAAGGGAUCAAUAAAAAUUUAAAAUUUAUAAUUUACAGUUUGAUGAUUUAAAGUCUCACACACAACCCGUCGGAAGGGGAGGGAGACCUGCUGUUCCAAAUAGAGCACAUUUCAUUCAUAAUGUUGUAAAUCCAAGCCCA